rnacentral:lncRNA from 1 species
UGCCGCACUCGCAUCUCCGCCGCACGACCAGGCCUUACCUCCUCCGUCGUCAAGCUUCUUCUACCAUUCCUCCGACAAGCUCCUAUAGCGUCUAUUCUCUCUCCGCCUCCGGAUCUGUUCUCUCCAUCUCAACCUUGUGAAAAGAACAAUCCAAAGUAAAAAACUUAGUAAUACCUUCAAAAGAUGUCUCAAGGAUUCAUCACCAUCACGAAGUAGAACAACCAUUUAUAUAUGUUACCUGAGAACUUUUGGCUUCAGAUUUAAAUAUUGAUAGAUUAGAAUCCUGAAGCAUCUCAAUCUCCAGCCAAAAGAAGAAAAAGUUCAACACUUUAAAGUAUGUUCCAUUGCGAUAAGCGCACAGCUAAAGGUUAAGAGGAAGUGAAGGACCUUCUGCAUCUCAGGCCUGGAAACGAAUGACUCGGAU